GAUGAACGCUGGCGGCGUGCCUAAUACAUGCAAGUCGAACGCUGAAGGAGGAGCUUGCUCUUCUGGAUGAGUUGCGAACGGGUGAGUAACGCGUAGGUAACCUGCCUGGUAGCGGGGGAUAACUAUUGGAAACGAUAGCUAAUACCGCAUGACAACAGUUAUUGCAUGAUAACUGUUUAAAAGGGGCAACUGCUCCACUACCAGAUGGACCUGCGUUGUAUUAGCUAGUUGGUGAGGUAACGGCUCACCAAGGCGACGAUACAUAGCCGACCUGAGAGGGGGAUCGGCCACACUGGGACUGAGACACGGCCCAGACUCCUACGGGAGGCAGCAGGAGGGAAUCUUCGGCAAUGGACGGAAGUCUGACCGAGCAACGCCGCGUGAGUGAAGAAGGUUUUCGGAUCGUAAAGCUCUGUUGUAAGAGAAGAACGAGUGUGAGAGUGGAAAGUUCACACUGUGACGGUAUCUUACCAGAAAGGGACGGCUAACUACGUG
rnacentral:rRNA from 1 species